rnacentral:piRNA from 1 species
GACAAAUGUCAAGCUUUCUGGU